GUGACUACAUUUUCGACCUAACAUCUGACAUUGACCGUGGCCUGUUAGAUUGAGCAAUAUUAACUGGCCGAUUCUUACAAGUCUACGUCAACAUUUUUCUCGAUCUAACAGAGUUAGCAGGGUUAAAACAAAGAUCGUAAUAUUUACUGAUAUCUCUAAUUUAUCUUUACAAACAUCAUCAAGGCUAAUUGAUCGAAUUUCUGAUGCUAUUACGUUGCUCCGAAGGUUGGUGACCAAUUUUAACGAAAUAGGACAAGCUAUUUCUAUGGUAUUUCCUAUAAACGUAACAGUAAAUUGCAUCCUCUAUUAGAACACCUCGGCGGUGUGGUGAAUCCGAGAAAUUCAAAAACGGUUGACUAGUAGAGAUGUGAGAAUUAGUAAAUUAUCUUUCCGGUCGAGAGCGGAUAACAAUUUUAGAAGUGUGUUGACACAUUUGGACCCAGGGCAAGAUAAUUGUUGGAAAUUGGCAUUGUUUUGGACUUGGUGGAUCAAACGAGUUCGACCGAGAGCGGAUGAAGUGAAGCUCCAGUUCGCCUACGGAGAAAGAAGGAAGAAUUUGUGGGUCACAAUGGUUCAACGCCUCCUCAACGUCUUUUUUUUCCAUUCCUUAACCCAUUGCCCAUUUAAUAUUAAGGAAGAAGGUGAGUAGGAUGAUGCAAACAAUCAUGGAAGGGAGGUCAGCGUGUCUGCCGGUUUCCUUUGACCGUAUUAGCGUUCUUCAAGAAACCACGAAAGAGUGAAAAUGACUAAAGCGUAAAAUUGGAAAGUGGACCGAUAACGAAAAAACAAAACUAGGCAACCGGUCGUGUUGUAGUACGGAACAGACUGUCAGCAGGAGUUGGUGGUCAUUAAUUUUUGUACUUACAAAAAAAAGCUAUUUUGUAAAAACUAUACAUUACUACCUACAUGAAAGACCAAAUUGGUUUUGAUUCAAUAAUAAAAAAAUAAAUCUGGAUUUUUUAUGUUGUUAGGAGUUCAACCAUCUAUCAAUAGCUAAUCCAUGUGAAUAAAUCGUCAAACUAGCCAACUAAGUUUUAACAAUAAUUAAGUUUGUCCUUUCGUAUGCUGUGAAGUUGUCGAUUUUAAGUUUAAAAGUUAA